rnacentral:rRNA from 1 species
UACGAAGGGGGGCUAGCGUUGCUCGGAAUCACUGGGCGUAAAGGGCGCGUAGGCGGGAUGGCAAGUCGGUCGUGAAAUCCCUCGGCUCAACCGAGGAACGUCGAUCGAUACUGCUGUUCUUGAGGAUUGCAGAGGAGACUGGAAUUCCCGGUGUAGCGGUGAAAUGUGUAGAGAUCGGGAGGAACGACCGGUGGCGAAGGCGGGUCUCUGGGCAAUUCCUGACGCUGAGGCGCGAAAAGCGUGGGGAGCAAACGGG